rnacentral:rRNA from 1 species
GACGAACGCUGGCGGCGUGCCUAAUACAUGCAAGUAGAACGCUGAAGGAGGAGCUUGCUUCUCUGGAUGAGUUGCGAACGGGUGAGUAACGCGUAGGUAACCUGCCUGGUAGCGGGGGAUAACUAUUGGAAACGAUAGCUAAUACCGCAUAAGAGUAGAUGUUGCAUGACAUUUGCUUAAAAGGUGCAAUUGCAUCACUACCAGAUGGACCUGCGUUGUAUUAGCUAGUUGGUGGGGUAACGGCUCACCAAGGCGACGAUACAUAGCCGACCUGAGAGGGGGAUCGGACAAACUGGGACUGAGAAACGGCCAAGACUCCUAGGGGAGGCAGAAGUAGGGAAUCUUGGGAAAGGGGGGGAAGGCUGACCGAGAAACGCCGGGGGGGGGAAAAAGGUUUUCGGAUAGAAAAGCACUUUUGAAAGGGAAGAAAGGGGGGGGGAGGGGAAAGUUAACACGGGGAGGGAAUUGUACAAAAAAGGGAGGGGAAACUAGGG